rnacentral:misc_RNA from 1 species
AACGUUUUCACAAGUUUAUGGCCACUUUCGCCAAACUUUUACCAAGAUUCCAAGAUUACAAAUUUUUAAACCACGGAUCUUGACAACCGUACGUGAAACAUUUCUGAAUUGGAGUACUGAACUGUGAAACAAAGUCUUAUGUGCCAAAAUCCAAGAAAUCAACAUGCCUUUACCUACAGCAAGAUGUGUGGAAGAUCAACAAGACUCCUCUUCUGAGUAUGAUUCUCUUCCUGACAUUUCUGUUGUGGAUGUGUUUGAUCUUGCCUCUGAUGUUGGUAAUGAGUUAGAAAAAAUUAUAAAUAUCCACGGGAAUGAACUAGUCCAAGGUUUGAUGCAAAAGGUGAUAAGAGUUCUGGAGUUGCUUGAUAAAACCUCUAAAAGGCAAGAAUCAGAGCGACAACUUGUAGAAGAGUUACAGAGUAAUAUCAGUCUUCUUGAACGUGAGAAAAGAGAAAAAGCUGUUGACAGGUUACGUUAUGAAAGGGAAAUUGAACAGCUGGAAGAAAACUGGAAAAAAGAAACACAAGAACUUCUUGGGAAAAUUACCAGAGUUCAAGAAGAAAACAAGCGAUUAUCUUCCUCAUUGAAAGAGAGUAAAGAAAAAAUUGUUUCAAAAAAACCUGUACUCAAAGAACCUGAUUGGGACAUAUUUGAAAAGCUCAGGGAAGCAAAUGAGAAACAGAGAGAUCUGUUGCGCUGUAGGGAUAAGGAGUACCAAGAUAAAGUUGCUGAAAAUGAAUCUUUACAAAAUCAGGUGGAACGCUUGACGGAGAUUAAUAAAGAAUUACGGAGAAAGCAAAGUCACAUGUCUCAGCAAAUGAGAACAUUAGUUGAAGAGAGAGCGGAUUUGCAGGCUUUACACCAAGAGCAGUCGAGGAACUUAACUGCACUACAAAAGCGACUGGGCGUUGCACAACGAGACAAUGAAGAUUUGAUUCAGUGCCAGAACGAUGUGCCAGAUCUCACCAAUAAAAUUGUCAUUGACAUCAAUGAUCCGAACCGUCCUCGGUUCACCAUAGCUGAGCUAAAAGAGAUUCUUUGUGAACGAAAUGAGCUGAAAGCUCGCAAUAGUGAUUUGGUUGAUGAAUUAGCGCUAUACAGGCCCAGCAAAAAUCAUUCCAAUCCUGAAAGGGUAUCACCCACAAAUGGCGGUUCAAUUGUUUCUUCCGCUGAUCUUCUUGUAUCAGAAACUGACGAAUCUUCUACUGAUCUACCGGUUCAGGGCCCUCUGCCCUACGAACCGGAUGAUGCGCCAUGGAAACGUCCUACUUCCAGACGAAAGGAGUCGAGCAUAAGGAAAUUGUUUUCUACUUUGUCUUCUUUCCCUCGUUUAUUAGCUCCGCGCACUGUAGAUGGUGCAAAAUGACCUGAAGUUUCCCAACUUGUGAUAUUUUGCUAGCCAUUGUCCUUGUAUAUUGGUUUAAAAAACUUGUUACGUUGCCAAGUACGGGACUUUUGAAUCCACAGUGACGAGUACCAAAAGUUGGUUGACUGGUUUCCCCCAAAAAACAUAUGCCGAACAAAGUUUCUCGUAGCAAUUUUAGUUUAAAAUCGACUGUCAUUUAUUCGCGGUGUUUUAAAGUUUGCGUCAUUUCCAUUAAAUGUGGCCAUAGGUAUCCAAGCGAUCUGUAAACGUUAUAGGCGUUCUGCCAAUGCCGUUCUAGAAUCUAGUGAUCUGUUCGAUCAUCGAUAGUAAACCAAAUACUAUGUAUCCAACAUAACUACAUGAGAUACUCCUCCCCUACUAUAUCCAAAGACUAAAGACAUUUAUUAUUAGGACGUUUGAUUUGCCAUUAACGAUGUGAAAUACACACAUUAAAAAAAAGAA